rnacentral:rRNA from 1 species
AUGAACGCUGGCGGCGUGCCUAAUACAUGCAAGUCGAGCGAACAGACGAGGAGCUUGCUCCUCUGACGUUAGCGGCGGACGGGUCAGUAACACGUGGAUAACCUACCUAUAAGACUGGGAUAACUUCGGGAAACCGGAGCUAAUACCGGAUAAUAUAUUGAACCGCAUGGUUCAAUAGUGAAAGACGGUUUUGCUGUCACUUAUAGAUGGAUCCGCGCCGCAUUAGCUAGUUGGUAAGGUAACGGCUUACCAAGGCAACGAUGCGUAGCCGACCUGAGAGGGUGAUCGGCCACACUGGAACUGAGACACGGUCCAGACUCCUACGGGAGGCAGCAGUAGGGAAUCUUCCGCAAUGGGCGAAAGCUUGACGGAGCAACGCCGCGUGAGUGAUGAAGGUCUUCGGAUCGUAAAACUCUGUUAUUAGGGAAGAACAAAUGUGUAAGUAACUAUGCACGUCUUGACGGUACCUAAUCAGAAAGCCACGGCUAACUACGUG